GAUAAACGCUGGCGGCGUGCCUAAUACAUGCAAGUCGAGCGAACGGACGAGAAGCUUGCUUCUCUGAUGUUAGCGGCGGACGGGUGAGUAACACGUGGAUAACCUACCUAUAAGACUGGGAUAACUUCGGGAAACCGGAGCUAAUACCGGAUAAUAUUUUGAACCGCAUGGUUCAAAAGUGAAAGACGGUCUUGCUGUCACUUAUAGAUGGAUCCGCGCUGCAUUAGCUAGUUGGUAAGGUAACGGCUUACCAAGGCAACGAUGCAUAGCCGACCUGAGAGGGUGAUCGGCCACACUGGAACUGAGACACGGUCCAGACUCCUACGGGAGGCAGCAGUAGGGAAUCUUCCGCAAUGGGCGAAAGCCUGACGGAGCAACGCCGCGUGAGUGAUGAAGGUCUUCGGAUCGUAAAACUCUGUUAUUAGGGAAGAACAUAUGUGUAAGUAACUGUGCACAUCUUGACGGUACCUAAUCAGAAAGCCACGGCUAACUACGUGCCAGCAGCCGCGGUAAUACGUAGGUGGCAAGCGUUAUCCGGAAUUAUUGGGCGUAAAGCGCGCGUAGGCGGUUUUUUAAGUCUGAUGUGAAAGCCCACGGCUCAACCGUGGAGGGUCAUUGGAAACUGGAAAACUUGAGUGCAGAAGAGGAAAGUGGAAUUCCAUGUGUAGCGGUGAAAUGCGCAGAGAUAUGGAGGAACACCAGUGGCGAAGGCGACUUUCUGGUCUGUAACUGACGCUGAUGUGCGAAAGCGUGGGGAUCAAACAGGAUUAGAUACCCUGGUAGUCCACGCCGUAAACGAUGAGUGCUAAGUGUUAGGGGGUUUCCGCCCCUUAGUGCUGCAGCUAACGCAUUAAGCACUCCGCCUGGGGAGUACGACCGCAAGGUUGAAACUCAAAGGAAUUGACGGGGACCCGCACAAGCGGUGGAGCAUGUGGUUUAAUUCGAAGCAACGCGAAGAACCUUACCAAAUCUUGACAUCCUUUGACAACUCUAGAGAUAGAGCCUUCCCCUUCGGGGGACAAAGUGACAGGUGGUGCAUGGUUGUCGUCAGCUCGUGUCGUGAGGUGUUGGGUUAAGUCCCGCAACGAGCGCAACCCUUAAGCUUAGUUGCCAUCAUUAAGUUGGGCACUCUAAGUUGACUGCCGGUGACAAACCGGAGGAAGGUGGGGAUGACGUCAAAUCAUCAUGCCCCUUAUGAUUUGGGCUACACACGUGCUACAAUGGACAAUACAAAGGGUAGCGAAACCGCGAGGUCAAGCAAAUCCCGUAAAGUUGUUCUCAGUUCGGAUUGUAGUCUGCAACUCGACUAUAUGAAGCUGGAAUCGCUAGUAAUCGUAGAUCAGCAUGCUACGGUGAAUACGUUCCCGGGUCU
rnacentral:rRNA from 1 species